rnacentral:rRNA from 1 species
UUAAGGGUAAAGCGUGGGACGAAAGUAGGAGUCAAAUCCGAAAAAAGUCACUGACCCCAGUUGCCAGGAAAAUCCUCGGGCGGCUCUAACUGUGAUCUGACCGUACCGCAAACCGACACAGGUAGGUGGGGCGAGAAUCCUAAGGCGCUUGUGAGAACUCUCGUUCAGGAACUCGGCAAAAUGUACCCGUAACUUCGGGAGAAGGGUAGCCCACCUGAGACGUGGGUCGCAGAGAAAUGUCCCAGGCGACUGUUUACUAAAAACACAGGUCUCCGCAAAGUCGUGAAGACGACGUAUGGGGGCUGACGCCUGCCCAAUGCUGGAAGGUUAAAAGGAGUGGUCAGCCGCAAGGCGAAGCUGCGAAUUGAAGCCCCAGUGAAUGGCGGCCGUAACAAUAACGGUCCUAAGGUAGCGAAAUUCCUUGUCGGGUAAGUUCCGACCUGCACGAAUGGCGUAACGAUCUGGGAGCUGUCUUAACGAGAGACACAGCGAACUUGUAGUACCGGUGAAGAUGCCGGUUUCCCGCAUUUAGACGGAAAGACCCCGUGCACCUUUACUACAACUUGACAGUGAUUUCGGGCAAACGAUGCGCAGGAUAGAUGGGAGGCUUUGAACUCGCCCUUUUGGGGGCGGGGGAGCCAACGGUGAGAUACCAUCCUUCGUUUGUCUGGACUCUAACCUACCGCCGUUAUCCGGCGGAGGGACACUAUCAGGCGGGUAGUUUGACUGGGGCGGUCGCCUCCCAAAGAGUAACGGAGGCGCUCGAAGGUUGGCUCAGGCUGUUUGGAAAUCAGCCGCAGAGUGUAAACGCAUAAGCCAGCUUGACUGCGAGACAGACAAGUCGAGCAGGUACGAAAGUAGGAGUUAGUGAUCCGGCGGUUCUGUAUGGAAGGGCCGUCGCUCAACGGAUAAAAGGUACGCCGGGGAUAACAGGCUGAUCCUGCCCAAGAGUUCACAUCGACGGCAGGGUUUGGCACCUCGAUGUCGGCUCAUCGCAUCCUGGGGCUGAAGAAGGUCCCAAGGGUCCGGCUGUUCGCCGGUUAAAGCGGUACGUGAGCUGGGUUUAGAACGUCGUGAGACAGUUCGGUCCCUAUCUAGUGUGGGCGCAGCAGGAUUGAGGGAAUCUGUCCUUAGUACGAGAGGACCGGGAUGGAUCCACCUCUAGUGUACGAGUUAUCGUGCCAACGGUAACGCUCGGUAGCUAUGUGGAGCAUGGAUAAACGCUGAAUUCAUCUAAGCGUGAAGCCAGACCCGAGAUUAAUCCUGACAGUGAGACUCCUGGUAGACCACCAGGUUAAUAGGGUGGAUAUGUAAGUGCAGUAAUGUGCUCAGUUGACCACUACUAAUCAGUCCCCUGGCUUGACC